AUGACACCAAGGACGCCGAGCGAGACCUUCGCGGCGUCCAUCUCCGGGUCGGCGGACGUGAGCACUCGCACCGUGGCGUACCCGUCGGCGGCCGGAGCGGGCGUGACAAUGCGCAUCCGAACGACGUACUCGUGGAUGGCGCUGCCUUUCCCCCAGAGCGAGCUGCCAUGCGCGCCCGUGCCGAGCAUGCCGCCGACCGUCAGGCCCCACCAGUACGGCGAGUAG
rnacentral:rRNA from 1 species